rnacentral:lncRNA from 1 species
CUCUCCUCUCCCACCCCACUCUCAAAGCUUUCUCAACCUUCACCUUCGGUGUUACUAUCAUCCCCUGCCACUUUCAGGAGACUCAUACCCAUCACCUUCACCUUAGAUUUCAUCAUAGCAGGCCUCACCUACUCCUUCCCUUUCCUGACAUCCUCCAUCUUUCUUUCCCUCUCCUUAUCAUUAUGUUCUCUUCAUCAUCACCAUCAGUGUCACAACUAACCCCACCACCUCUAGGAGGCCCACGGUUGCCUCUUCUCUACCUCGGGUUUCACCAUGGCAGGCCUCUUCCUCCUCUUUCCUUCCCUUCUCCUCUCCUGUCUGUUUUGAGUCCCUCUCCUUGCCACCACCGUCAAUGCUAUGGCUAUCCUCUACCACCACUAG